GGAGUAUGUGGUUUAAUUCGAUGCAACGCGAAGAACCUUACCUGGUCUUGACAUCCCGGAGACCCUUAGGAAACUAGGGGGUGCUUCCAUCUGGAAGAAUCUGGAGACAGGUGCUGCAUGGCUGUCGUCAGCUCGUGUCGUGAGAUGUCGGGUUAAGUCCCAUAACGAGCGCAACCCCUAUCAUUAGUUGCCAUCAGGUCAAGCUGGGGACUCUAAUGAAACUGCCUACGCAAGUAGUGAGGAAGUGGGGAUGACGUCAAAUCAGCACGGCCCUUACGUCCAGGGCUACACACGUGCUACAAUGGCCGGUACAACGGGUUGCCAAGCCGCGAGGUGGAGCUAAUCCCAUAAAACCGAUCGUAGUCCGGAUCGCAGUCUGCAACUCGACUGCGUGAAGUCGGAAUCGCUAGUAAUCGUGAAUCAGAAUGUCACGGUGAAUACGUUCCCGGGCCUU
rnacentral:rRNA from 1 species